rnacentral:tRNA from 1 species
GCCGAGUUAGUUCAAUGGUAGAACAGUCGCCUGAUAAGCGGCAGACGUGGGAUCGUUACCCGCACUUGGUACCA